AAGUCGUAACAAGGUUUCCGUAGGUGAACCUGCGGAAGGAUCAUUACCGAGAUAGGGUUCAUCCGAGCCCGACCUCCAACCCUUUGUCUACCAAACCUCUGUUGCCUUGGCGGGCCGCCGACCCCUUUAACCAGGGGUCGCCGUCGGCUCUCGGGCUCUCGAGCGCCCGCCGCAGGACCAAUUAAACUCCUUUUAAACGAGUAUUCUGAGUCACACUUAAUAGUUUCAAAAAAA
rnacentral:misc_RNA from 1 species